GCUGGGCGGGGUGCUAUACUGCAGUCGAACGCUUCUUUUUCCACCGGAGCUUGCUCCACCGGAAAAAGAGGAGUGGCGAACGGGUGAGUAACACGUGGGUAACCUGCCCAUCAGAAGGGGAUAACACUUGGAAACAGGUGCUAAUACCGUAUAACAAUCAAAACCGCAUGGUUUUGAUUUGAAAGGCGCUUUCGGGUGUCGCUGAUGGAUGGACCCGCGGUGCAUUAGCUAGUUGGUGAGGUAACGGCUCACCAAGGCCACGAUGCAUAGCCGACCUGAGAGGGUGAUCGGCCACAUUGGGACUGAGACACGGCCCAAACUCCUACGGGAGGCAGCAGUAGGGAAUCUUCGGCAAUGGACGAAAGUCUGACCGAGCAACGCCGCGUGAGUGAAGAAGGUUUUCGGAUCGUAAAACUCUGUUGUUAGAGAAGAACAAGGAUGAGAGUAACUGUUCAUCCCUUGACGGUAUCUAACCAGAAAGCCACGGCUAACUACGUGCCAGCAGCCGCGGUAAUACGUAGGUGGCAAGCGUUGUCCGGAUUUAUUGGGCGUAAAGCGAGCGCAGGCGGUUUCUUAAGUCUGAUGUGAAAGCCCCCGGCU
rnacentral:rRNA from 1 species